GAGUUUGAUCUUGGCUCAGAUUGAACGCUGGCGGCAGGCCUAACACAUGCAAGUCGAGCGGUAGAGAGAAGCUUGCUUCUCUUGAGAGCGGCGGACGGGUGAGUAAUGCCUAGGAAUCUGCCUGGUAGUGGGGGAUAACGCUCGGAAACGGACGCUAAUACCGCAUACGUCCUACGGGAGAAAGCAGGGGACCUUCGGGCCUUGCGCUAUCAGAUGAGCCUAGGUCGGAUUAGCUAGUUGGUGAGGUAAUGGCUCACCAAGGCGACGAUCCGUAACUGGUCUGAGAGGAUGAUCAGUCACACUGGAACUGAGACACGGUCCAGACUCCUACGGGAGGCGAGCAGUGGGGAAUAUUGGACAAUGGGCGAAAGCCUGAUCCAGCCAUGCCGCGUGUGUGAAGAAGGUCUUCGGAUUGUAAAGCACUUUAAG
rnacentral:rRNA from 1 species